GGUGGUUAUAGCAGAGGGGAAACACCCGAUCCCAUUUCGAACUCGGAAGUUAAGCCCUCUAGCGCCGAUGGUACUGCUUGGUUACCUUGUGGGAGAGUAGGUCGCUGCCG
rnacentral:rRNA from 2 species